rnacentral:rRNA from 1 species
AGCUUGCUCUUUCCGGAAUUGAGUGGCAAACGGGUGAGUAACACGUAAACAACCUGCCUUCAGGAUGGGGACAACAGACGGAAACGACUGCUAAUACCGAAUAAGUUCCAAGAGCCGCAUGGCCCAUGGAAGAAAAGGUGGCCUCUACCUGUAAGCUAUCGCCUGAAGAGGGGUUUGCGUCUGAUUAGCUGGUUGGAGGGGUAACGGCCUACCAAGGCGACGAUCAGUAGCCGACCUGAGAGGGUGACCGGCCACAUUGGGACUGAGACACGGCCCAGACUCC